UCUCAACACAGCCCCGUCCCCAUUGGCUGCCGCCAAGCCAGCCGCCUCGCCGAUUGGCCGAGGCCCUUCCAUUGUCCUGACCAGAGAGCUUCGGUGAUUGGGCACGGCGCGGGACACGUCACUGAGGAUUGAAAGGGCGCGCAAAUAUAAAAGUGUGUGGAGGGAGCCGGGUGGCGGCGGGAGGCAGAGUUCCGAGGCGGUGGAUCGGCGCUGCUCGCUAUGGAGCGCGGGCCGCCGCCGCCCUGCCCGCCGCUCCCCCGGCCCCGGGGCCCCCCGCGUCCGGACCCCGCAGCCCCGGGACGGGGAGCACAGCACGGGGCGCCGGCGCCGCGGGCGCUCCCGCGAUGCCGCCACCCCCCCCCCCCUCCCCUCCCCACCGCGGCAACUCCCCGGCGGGCCGCUCCGCGCCGCCCCAUUUCACAGACGCGGAAACUGAGGCGCGGAGCUUGGGGCGCGGAGAGGCAAGCCCGCGUUUUUCGGGUCCUCUCGCCCGGCUUCAGCCGUCGCACGGGCGCUGCCUUCGGCGGCGUGUGCGGCUCUGCCUGAGGUGGGAGUUUGGGGGUGUUGGGUUUUGUUUUUUUUUUUUUCUCCCAGAAAUGGGUAAAUUACCUGUAAGAACAAGAAUCGGGAGGUCUCGGUUCUGUUCGUAACCCCCUGGGUGACAAGGAGCAGGCCAGGUGGCCAGGCAGCCCCCUGGUUCUCAGCGCUUCUGGAAGGAUGCCCCAAAUGCCAGCCCAGUGCAGAGGCAGAUGGAGUUGCUGGAAAGUUGGCAAUCUGGGACACAUCUCACCUGCCUUUUGUUGCCUCUCCUCUCCCUGCUUUUUUUUUAUAGUUAAUUGCACUGUAGGAAUAAUCUGUGGAGGACUAUCAAACCGAAGAAAUAUCCCUUUACAUCUGCUUCGCCAUUUACAUCUACUUUACUGGUGCAAACAACACUGAGAGGAGCGCUGUUGUGAUAAAUCCAAAACCACUGACCUUCCCCAAAAGGUGUUAUUGAUGCACUCACUGAAGUAACAGAAACUUGAAUGAUCCAAUGUCCAAGCCAGUUGCUGCUGCUCCGUUAUAAUUGUUGCCUCCUAACAUUUAGCCUCCUCGAGCUGGUGGUUCUUUCAAGAUAUUGCUGGUGAGAAGGCAAUCAAAUUCCAAAUCUUCUAUUGCAAUUAUCAGUUGUUUGGCAAGACAGAGUGCUUUAUGGAAGUCAGAGGUCUUUCUAAGUAAUUACCCUAGUUCUAAAAUGGCCUCAUUUGUGAGGAACUGCCGAUGGACACAGGAAGACAGCUGUUCUGCUACCUGAAAUCAUGUGAAAAUACAUAAGCAGUAGGAACACUAAUGUUUCUGUCUCAAGAAAAGCGUUUUUUUUUGGCCAGUCUGUGUUUUAACAUUUAAACUUUUACACAGAAUAUGGAGCGGAGGAAAAUUGUAAAAAGCCCAGCCAUUUAUGUGGCCUAGCGUGCAGGAGCCAAUUGCUUUGCACAUACUGAACUUCUUCAAAGUUUCUUCUGUGAAAACCAGACCUGAAAGGAAGGAAAAGGAAGACAUUUCCAGCUGUUGUCUAGAGCCAACUAUGUAGUAAAAGAUCAUCCCCCAUGCAGCUCAUAACUGAAGACUUCUAGCAAAGACAAACAAGGAUGGAGAAUCCCAAAGAGCACAGACUACAGAGACCACCUGCUUGACAGUGAAGCCUGACCAAGAGAGAGAUGCAGAGUGGGGAUCUCCUUCCUCCCCAGCUCCCAAGAUAACAUUGUGAAACACCUUGGUAAGGUUCCUCCAGCAGAAUUUUUGAGGAAGUCACAGUACGUAAAGAACCAGACCUUAGAAAGUCUCUGACUGCUUCAGCACUGUGGUUGCUGGCAGAGGUGAGAAAUGGAACUUGCACCAAUUCCAUGAGACGCAGGAGACACAGGAUGUGGGGCAGCACACCUCCCCUGGGACAAGAAGGUUGCUGCUCCAUGCUGCCACCUUUUCUUCCACAUUUUGCUUUCUCUGAAGGACACUGCUUACUCCCCAGUGGUUUUGGCUGGAAGGCAGAUGAUUUCAUAGCUUGCUUUGACAAUGAAGAGAUUAAUUGUCUUCACUGGACCUCCGGAUUUUGUCACUCUGUCCUCUCUUCCAAGGAAUAAGAUCAUUGUUUCUUUGGGUCAAAAUUAAGAGAAUAUUACAGUGAAAAUGGCACAUCAAAAGCUAGCUUGCCAGUCAAAUGCAAAGCUACUAUUAGGCUAUUUUUAACAAGAUAUGAAAGCCUUUCUCAACAAAAAUGUUACAUUUUCAGCUCAAAACAAGAGCAAAACAUCUGCAGUACAUGUGCCUCCUGGGCACAUGUACUUAUGAUGGAGCUGCUGGCGAUUUAGUUUCUCACUGUUGCUUUAGAACAAUUCCAGCUGUACAGCAGGUAGGUUGUUCACAGCACAUUUGGAAAAAGCACUGGCCGUAUCUGCCCUUUUCCUGAGGCUGCAUUGCCAGCCUGUACACAGCCCAGAUUAACACAAUUCUCAGUUGCUUAUUAGAUGUAGACUUAUAACCAAUUUUUUCCUCCGGUGUCUUAUUUUAAAUCUUCAGGACAUACUUCAUAUAUUUCCUUAAAAUCAUUUCUGGAAGAGAAAGACUCCAUUCAAAGAAAUGAGACCUAGCAUGGCUGCACAUAGUAACAAUGCAUGGAAUGUUCUUUGCUUUACCUUUCCAGCUGGAUUUGCUCAGAUUGCAUCAAGUAAUCUGCAUAUAUUGUUGGCUCUCUUCUAUUCGUGAGCGCUAUCUAGAGAACAGGGUUUCAGGAGGCCAUUUGUCCUUGCAGCGUGGAUGAGUGGCCGACUACUCUAGGUGUGUGUGUAAGUGGUAACUGAGGAGAAGCAGCAGCCAGACAAGGUAACCUCAGCUGACUAAGUGGUCUGGCAGAGGCAGGCAGGGAGCAGGGAUGGCACCAGUGCCACUGCAGUAAUUUCCUUGUGAGGCUUCAUGUGUGAACCAGCUGAUAUUUGUUGACAUGUGAGCCCUGCAGACAAUUCCAUCGUUUCUAGAGUUGAUACGUUCUUAAAUCAGGGUCAGUACUUACACAGUGCUUUUAUCCAUAGAAUGGAUUACAUUUAAAUUUGUAUACUUUCUGAGAAAUUAAGAGAUAUACAGUAAAGUAUCCAAGAAAACAUAUUUCCAUAGCAAAGGUGCAUACCCACAGUGUUCAGCUCAUGAAGUGGGCAAAACUGAUGAAGAUACAUCAGCAUGGUCUUUUCUUCUGAUGAUCAGUAUUCCAUGAACAUUUUUUCACAGUGAAAAUGUGUAUAGAAAGUAACCAUUUCAUGGUAACGGUAAUGGAAAUUACUUACUCUUAAGACGUAUGGUUCCUUUCGCAUGUUAUUCCUGAUGUAUAAGUACAUAACUUCUUUAAGUGUC